AGCUCCAAUAGCGUAUAUUAAAGUUGCUGCAGUUAAAAAGCUCGUAGUUGAAUUUGUGGCGCGGCCAUCCGGCGGGGGCUCUUCAUUGAGCCCGUUUGUCCUGGUUUGCACGUUGUGGUAAUGGUUAACAGGAAUAGUUGGGGGUAUUCGUAUUCAAUUGUCAGAGGUGAAAUUCUUGGAUUUGUGGAAGACGAACUACUGCGAAAGCAUUUACCAAGGAUGUUUUCA
rnacentral:rRNA from 1 species